GGUGGCGCAGUGGUAGAGUGCUUGCCUUGCAUGCAUGAGGCCCUGGGUUCGAUUCCCCAGCACCA
rnacentral:tRNA from 1 species